rnacentral:rRNA from 1 species
UACGAAGGGGGCGAGCGUUGUUCGGAAUUACUGGGCGUAAAGGGUGCGUAGGCGGCCUAUUAAGUCAGGGGUGAAAGACGGUAGCUUAACUAUCGCAGUGCCUUUGAUACUGAUGGGCUUGAAUGUACUUGAGAUAGGCGGAAUGUGACAAGUAGCGGUGAAAUGCAUAGAUAUGUCACAGAACACCAAUUGCGAAGGCAGCUUACUAAAGUAUGAUUGACGCUGAGGCACGAAAGCGUGGGGAUCAAACAGG